rnacentral:rRNA from 1 species
UGGGGAAUUUUGGACAAUGGGGGAAACCCUGAUCCAGCCAUCCCGCGUGUGCGAUGAAGGCCUUCGGGUUGUAAAGCACUUUUGGCAGGAAAGAAAUGGCGUGUGUUAAUACCAUGCGCAGAUGACGGUACCUGCAGAAUAAGCACCGGCUAACUACGUGCCAGCAGCCGCGGUAAUACGUAGGGUGCAAGCGUUAAUCGGAAUUACUGGGCGUAAAGCGUGCGCAGGCGGUCCGGAAAGAAAGAUGUGAAAUCCCAGGGCUCAACCUUGGAACUGCAUUUUUAACUACCGGACUAGAGUAUGUCAGAGGGAGGUGGAAUUCCACGUGUAGCAGUGAAAUGCGUAGAUAUGUGGAGGAACACCGAUGGCGAAGGCAGCCUCCUGGGAUAAUACUGACGCUCAUGCACGAAAGCGUGGGGAGCAAACAGG